GUUUCCAUAGUGUAGUGGUUAUCACGUUCUCCUCACACGCGAAAGGUCCCCAGUUCGAAACUGGGUGGAAACA
rnacentral:tRNA from 1 species